rnacentral:rRNA from 1 species
UACGUAGGAUGCAAGCGUUGUUCGGAAUUACUGGGCGUAAAGAGUACGUAGGCGGUUUGAUAAGUCUGGUAUUAAAGACUGAGGCUUAACCUCAGGAAUGUAUUGGAAACUGUCAGACUAGAGGACAGUAGAGGAAGUCGGAAUUCUCAGUGUAGCGGUGAAAUGCGUAGAUAUUGGGAAAGAACACCAGUGGCGAAAGCGGACUUCUGGCCUGUUACUGACGCUGAGGUACGGAAAGCGAUGGGGAGCAAACGGGGGAAUUAAGAAACCCCGUAGACCCAGGUAC